GUAGGUGGCAAGCGUUGUCCGGAAUUAUUGGGCGUAAAGCGCGCGCAGGGCGGUCCUUUAAGUCUGAUGUGAAAGCCCACGGCUCAACCGUGGAGGGUCAUUGGAAACUGGGGGACUUGAGUACAGAAGAGGAAAGCGGAAUUCCAAGUGUAGCGGUGAAAUGCGUAGAGAUUUGGAGGAACACCAGUGGCGAAAGCGGCUUUCUGGUCUGUAACUGACGCUGAGGCGCGAAAGCGUGGGGAGCAAACAGGAUUAGAUACCCUGGUAGUCCACGCCGUAAACGAUGAGUGCUAAGUGUUAGGGGGUUUCCGCCCCUUAGUGCUGCAGCUAACGCAUUAAGCACUCCGCCUGGGGAGUACGGCCGCAAAGGCUG
rnacentral:rRNA from 1 species